UACGUAGGGGCAAGCGUUGUCCGGAUUUAUUGGGCGUAAAGAGCGUGUAGGCGGCUAGGUAGGUCCGUUGUGAAACUCGAGGCUCAACCUCGAGACGCCGAUGGAAACAUCUAGCUAGAGUCCGGAAGAGGAGAGUGGAAUUCCUGGUGUAGCGGUGAAAUGCGCAGAUAUCAGGAAGAACACCCGUGGCUAAGGCGGCUCUCUAGUACGGUACUGACGCUGAGACGCGAAAGCGUGGGGAGCGAACAGG
rnacentral:rRNA from 1 species